rnacentral:rRNA from 1 species
UCUUUAUAUAGAAAACUCUACAAACCCUUGCCGUUACGCCCGUGGAGCGUCAACAUAUUUAGUUGGGGUGACGCGAAGUCAUAAACACUUCUUACUAACACGAUAGUUUAAGGACUCAUGACCCGGCUAGCCGAUCAAAAAAUCAAGU